UACAGAGGUCUCAAGCGUUGUUCGGAUUCAUUGGGCGUAAAGGGUGCGUAGGUGGCGCUGUAAGUCGGGUGUGAAAUUUCGGAGCUUAACUCCGAAACUGCAUUCGAUACUGCGGUGCUUGAGGACUGGAGAGGAGACUGGAAUUUACGGUGUAGCGGUGAAAUGCGUAGAUAUCGUAAGGAAGACCAGUGGCGAAGGCGGGUCUCUGGGCCGUAACUGACGCUGAGGAGCGAAAGCAUGGGGAGCGAACAGG
rnacentral:rRNA from 1 species